rnacentral:lncRNA from 1 species
GAUCUCCUGACCUCGUGACCUGCCCAGCUCGGCCUCCCAAAGUGCUGGGAUUACAGGCAUGAGCCAUUGCGCCUAACCUCAGAAACCAUUUUUAUAACCUCAAUACCUAAUAGAAACUGGCACAUGGACUGUGUGCGAAAUGUUCAAACUUGCUCACUGGGUUAAAAAGGAUGGACAGCUUAGAGAAAAAGAAGAAAAAAAGGAAACUCGGCUGUGCGCAGUGACUCAUGCCUAUAAUGCCAGCACUUUGGGAGGCCAAGGCAACUUUGCAAAUUAAAUGGUUCACAUAUGAAGGAGCACAGCUGUAGAAGGAAAAUAAGGAAGAGAAAAUAACUUCGGAAAAUUCCCAGGACUCAUACUCUAAAGGUCAUGGUUCCAGUACCAGCUUGGCUAGUAAUUAAUUGGAUUUUGGUCUUAGAUAAAUACAGACUUCUAGAUCUGUUUCUUCACAUAUAAAAUGAGAAUAAUCACCACAGUCCUGAUCUAAUAUACUAAGAUUUAGUGUCAAAAAGAAGUGUGGUUCCAAGAGUCAGUUAUUGUGCAAGUGGGUAGAAGUGCUUUAGAGUAAAUAUAAAUUCUGACUCUUUGCUACUUUCUUACUAGACAGUUAGACAAGUCAUUUAGAACUCUAUAGAUCAGCAAAAUAGGUAUAACAUUUUCUGUUUCAUAUUUGUUUUCUAGGUUUAAAUGAGAGAAUGAGUAUCAAAAAGUAUAGCAUGUGCCUCCGUAGGAAAAGUUUGGUAAAUCUCAGCAGCUAAUUAUAGGAAUAAUCAUGGUGGAAAAAGGCAGCAGCAGUAUUUCAAAGCCAGUUGCUUUCAGGGGAGAAAAUGACUGCAAGGUUAACAAAACUUAGCCAAAACCUGAUUGAAAAUAGGGAUAUGAUUCAAAAUGGCAGAUGGCAACCCUAAGUAAGAUUAUUUAGCAAUAGAAGCAUAGAUACAGAGGAGCCAUUGAGAACACAUAAGCAAUGAUUAUCUGAGCUCUAUGAAUGAAGAUCUAGUGUCAGAUGAAUGUGAGUGUAGGUCCACUGAGCGAAUACAUUUCUAUGAAAGGAAUUCACGUAUCAAGUUUUGAGCCCUGAUGGUAUCAAAUAUUCAAAAAGUUGUAAACACCCCUUCUUGUUCUGAUUCCAAAAUAAUCUAACAACUAUAUAAUUAUUUUUAUGUUUAUAUAUUCAUCUAUAUAGAGAAAAUGUAAUGAUCAGGCUAACAUGAGAAUUCAUUCAUUCUGCCUGACACAUCUCUCACUGGGAGUUGACAAUCUAAUGUUCUGAAUUUCUAUUCCAGCCCCUGUGAGCUGUGACUGCAAGAGUCAGCACCUAAAUUAGAUCAACACUACAACAUCAAAAAGCCAGCUUGAUGGCACAGCGGGGAGUGAGGAAGACUCGGUGGACAAAUCUGACUGGAAAACAAGUAGGCGUUGCAGAUGAUUGCCAGCUCAAAAUAUCAAUUCUGUUGAUCUGUUUUUUCUUCUACGCUCAGAAGACCUGGAACCAUGGUAGGAAGUGGGACAGGGAGCAUUUGGACAAGCUGUUCAAGAACUGAUCAUGCUCAUGUGUAUGGGAAAACAGAUGGAGGAAGAGAAAUUCCUGAAGAGCACAAGACUGGUGGGGCAAGGAACAAGCCUACUGAGAUGAGUUGCAGAUUUGAAGAUGGGAGAAAUGGUUUCGUUGUCUACCAUGUAAAAACUCAUUUAUGCAAGAUGCUUGAUAUCUGAAUUUCAAUUUCUUCAUUAUCAAAAUGAAUAUUAAAAAUACUCUACUUCUUAGAGUUGUCAAAAAGAU